rnacentral:rRNA from 1 species
CACAGCACAUAAACAUUAAAUUUCACAAACAAAACCCAACUCCAAGCAAAACACUGAGCAAAACUAUUCUUAUAGUAGAACUAAUGCUAAAACUAGUAACAAGAAUAAUUCUCUUAGCACGCCUUUGACCCAGAAAUAGAAAAGCUGCUGGACAUUAACAGACCACAACGGGCAAAACGAAACACCCAGAAAACUGUCAAUCCAACACAGGAGUGCCACCAAGACAGAUUAAAAGUUAUAUAAGGAACUCAGCAAAAACUUAUCCCAACUGUUUACCAAAAACAUAGCCUUUAGCUUGAACAAGUAUUAAAGGUCCUGCCUGCCCAGUGAUUCUUUUCAACGGCCGCGGUAUUCUAACCGUGCAAAGGUAGCGUAAUCACUUGUCUUUUAAAUAAAGACCUGUAUGAACGGCUAAAUGAGGAUAAACCUGUCUCUUAUAACUAAUCAGUGAAACUGAUCUUCCAGUACAAAAGCUGGGAUAAUCACAUAAGACGAGAAGACCCUGUGGAGCUUAAAACAAGCCACUAAACAAACAUCAAACUGUUUUAGUGCACGUUUUCAGUUGGGGCGACUUCGGAAUAAAAAACAACUUCCGAGCACAGAGCCAAAAUCUCUAACCGAGGCCAACAAGCCAAAGCACAAAACCGACCCGGCCUUGCCGAUCAACGAACCAAGUUACCCCAGGGAUAACAGCGCAAUCUUCUUCGAGAGCCCCUAUCAACAAGAAGGUUUACGACCUCGAUGUUGGAUCAGGACACCCAAAUGGUGCAGCCGCUAUUAAAGGUUCGUUUGUUCAACGAUUACAGU